rnacentral:rRNA from 1 species
AACGAACGCUGGCGGCAGGCUUAACACAUGCAAGUCGAGCGCCCCGCAAGGGGAGCGGCAGACGGGUGAGUAACGCGUGGGAAUCUACCCAUCUCUACGGAAUAACGCAUGGAAACGUGUGCUAAUACCGUAUACGCCCUUCGGGAGAAAGAUUUAUCGGGGAAGGAUGAGCCCGGGUUGGAUUAGCUAGUUGGUGGGGUAAAGGCCUACCAAGGCGACGAUCCAUAGCUGGUCUGAGAGGAUGCUCAGCCACCCUGGGACUGAGACACGGCCCAGACUCCUACGGGAGGCAGCAGGGGGGAAUAUUGGACAAUGGGCGCAAGCCUGAUCCGGCCAUGCCGCGUGAGUGAUGAAGGCCCUAGGGUUGUAAAGCUCUUUCACCGGUGAAGAUAAUGACGGUAACCGGAGAAGAAGCCCCGGCUAACUUCGUGCCAGCCGCCGCAGUAAUAC